UACGUAGGGGGCAAGCGUUGUCCGGAAUCAUUGGGCGUAAAGAGCGUGUAGGCGGCCAGAAAAGUCCGCUGUGAAAACUCGAGGCUCAACCUCGAGACGUCGGUUGAAACCGUACGGCUAGAGUCCGGAAGAGGAGAGUGGAAUUCCCGGUGUAGCGGUGAAAUGCGUAGAGAUCGGGAGGAACACCAGUGGCGAAGGCGGCUACCUGGACCAGCACUGACACUGAGGCACGAAAGCGUGGGGAGCAAACAGG
rnacentral:rRNA from 1 species